rnacentral:rRNA from 1 species
UUCCAGACUCCUACGGGAGGCAGCAGUGAGGAAUAUUGGUCAAUGGGCGCGAGCCUGAACCAGCCAAGUCGCGUGAGGGAAGACGGUCCUAUGGAUUGUAAACCUCUUUUGUCGGGGAGCAAAAGACGCCACGCGUGGCGUUCCGAGAGUACCCGAAGAAAAAGCAUCGGCUAACUACGUGCCAGCAGCCGCGGUCAUACGUAGGAUCCGAGCAUUAUCCGGAGUGACUGGGUGUAAAGAGUUGCGUAGGUGGCAUAAUAAGUAGCUAGUGAAAUCUGGUGGCUCAACCAUUCAGACUAUUAGCUAAACUGUUAAGCUCGAGACCGUUAGGGGUAACUGGAAUUUCUAGUGUAGGAGUGAAAUCCGUAGAUAUUAGAAGGAACACCGAUAGCGUAGGCAGGUUACUGGGACGGUUCUGACACUAAGGCACGAAAGCGUAGGGAGCAAACGGGAUUAGAUACCCGCGUA